AUUUUCGUAUUAUAUUUAUCCUCGAACCUAUUGAUUGGAUCUAUUUGUUUCGAAAAAAUGGACAACAUCCGAGAAACAAUAUGCUCAAACGAGUUUUGUAUUGUGAAAUCACUGAAAUGGACGAUCGACUAUCUAAAAAACUGAAAGCUUGUGACCAUGCGGAAGAUAUGAAACGAUGAUAUUGAAUUAAGUUUAUAACGCCAGUUUCUCAAGAGUAUCCAAAAGUUGUGGACAAUCUAGUAUAUGAAACAUGUUUCUGUUAAAGAUGGAAUUCAGUCUACGAAACGAAGGAUCAGAAUUCCGGUAUCCCAAAGAAUAGCGAGAUGUUUACUCCGGGACUGAAUGAAGUUGUGUCCCUUUCGCCGUUCCUCUUCCCCGCCCCCAUGCAACAUCAAACAAACAGAUCAAAAUCAUUGAAAUUUAAUAGUUCCCUACUCCAGUUAUACAGUCAACAUAGACUUGGCUUACUCAAGAUCACGACAUUGGAUAUCAUCCGAGCUCUUUCAGUUCUGUCUUCACACACGAUAGUUCACGAUUACUUGCUAACGUCCUGAAACUACCAUCUGAUUUUGAUAUACGGGCAUAUUGAAAUAUUGACCGUCACGACUCAGCGAUUUGAUGUUAACUACGAUAAACCGAAGUCUGAAAUAUCGAGAAGGUAUUUUGUUGUGAAAUCGAAUUCGAAAACGUUGCACAUUCUUAAUGAAAGUAAAAGUGAAGAAUUUGGACAAGCAGAUCUCUAACUGGACCAUUACAAGUUUAAUGUGCUUUUUGAAAGCCAAAGUUGGUGUAAUUUUCGUCUUAUAACUGACACCUCACUGCGAUAUGUUUGCCAAGUGGUAUUGAAGGGAAGAAAUUAUCUCAGACUCAGGGAAGAAAUUAUAUCAGGGAUAAUUGCUUACAUAUUCAUCGCCAGAGGAACGAUCGAAGCAUUUUCACGCAAAGAAUCGCUAUACUCGAGUCGGUACUAUAAGUUCAAGCGGUGAACUUUGUUCUUUAUCUCAUAUCAGUAGAGUCUUGAUGAUAUUGCAUCAAAAAUUCAUAUAUGUGAAAGACAGAUAUUUGCGAAUUCUUGCUUUGAAAGACGGUUGAUUGAAGAGAAUUUGCUGUCCAGUGAAAAGAUUUACCAGUUUUCAAAUUUCACCGCAAAGCAUUGUUCAUUGUCAGGGUAUUAUAAUUACAAAAGUCAAAACACCGGCCAGAAUCAUCGGUUCGUAGUUGUAAACACACGAGAUCUAAGUUAAAAAAUCCAAUCGAUUAUACAUUGAUCAUUGAAAAAAAUGUGGAGUUUGAAAGGGUUUUUCCUUUCAAGAUGUUUCAAACCAGCCAGUGCCUGCAAAGAUUAUUUUCCAGACCCGAGAACGCUCGAAGCGCAGAUAGAGAGCAAGCAAAAAAUCAUUCGUGUUGUUAAAGCAUUUGUGUUGAUCGCAUACUGCCUCGUUCUCAACGGUUUCAUGGCUUAUAUGAAAUAUUACGGUGUGAAUUCAGUAUCUUAUGGUAUUGCUAUCAUCUCCGUUGUAUCACUUGUGUAUUUUGUCCAUUUGUAUUUCUGCGAGCGUGUUGAUGUGGAGACAGGAAAGCUACGGACAGUGAGAUCAGUAUUCUACGCUCUUGCGAUCCUUUAUAUCAUGAUCAUGCUGCUGUGUUUUGCAAGUUUCCUAAUGCUGACGGAGGCCGAUAAAAAAUCGCUUGAAGUUUGAGGAUUAAAAGAAAUGGAACGAAAGAACAUGCAGGGUUUGUUUCAUUUGAUGUGCAUGACGACGAACGAUGAAACAUCACAACGGCACUUGCAUGGAAUUGAUGGACACAUGCUGUUCUCGCAAAAGACACCGCGUCUUUUUUUAAUUUGCAACCUGUUUUUGUCUGUGUAUGGCGCGGUUUUUUAUUACAAGAAAAAGCAAAUUAUUAUAUAUCAAGUUUUCGCAUCAAGCCUUCGACUUGAGUAUAUCAUUAAAAGAAAAACAGUGUGUAUAUUCGUGGGAUGCAUUUGCUGUUUUUAUUGCGUGAAAUUUAUGAUUCUGACUGGAAAAAUUGAUUCUUCCUUUAUCUCCGGAAAAGAUCGAACACCGCAGGAAAUGAUGGCAAUGAAAAUAAUUUUGUUUUGACUAAAUCCAACACUUGACGAUAU
rnacentral:lncRNA from 1 species